AGCUCCUUCUUCUGCCGCGCUGCUCAGCCACCAGCGCAAGUGAAGCUGCAGCACGGCAGGAUAAGACCUGUUUGCAAGCAUUGCCCAAGCUUCCACUUCAACUGCCUUCAAAGAGUGAGGAUCAGAUUAAGCCUGAUGCUGAAGAGUGACUGAAGAAGUGGACCUGGACUAUGCCAGCUCUGAGAUCUGUCGGCAGAGUGUUGGUCACCCUGGGCGAAACCACCCAACAAAACACCAUUAUAAGAAAUGAACAGAGCUGAUGGCCAGGGCCAACGUUCUUCCAUAUUGCCUCAGUGCCAAAGCUGUUCAGUACCUUGUAACUGAUACAUUUUUAAUAUGAUGAGCUCAUUUAUCUCUGCAAUGAGGAGGUCUCCAGGAUGGUUACGCAGACAUAGGAAGACCAGGCCACACAAAACAACCAUCAUCAGGCACACAGAAGAGCUCAGUUUCCAUGGAGGCACCUAUACCUACAAGCAUCUAAAUUUUACCGCAGAAAAACUGGCUAAAAAACAGGCCCUGAGAGCUGCUGCUUCAGGCUAUUUGAACUUAGUGCAAACAGCUGUGACUGAAAGCCACCCUGACUCUGCAGCAUGACUAGCAGCACCACUGAUGAGGCAAGCAUUGAAACUGGUCACAGCACAGGAAUGGACAGCGAAGGAGGGAAGCAAAAGGAAGCCCCGCAGUGGAAUGGAAAAGAGUAAGAAAAGCUCAUUGAGAAGGGAAUGGAUAGAUGAGUGUUUCAGAGAUGGGAGAUUCUUCCAGAAGAAGUGGAGAACCCCUUCAGUAUGACCUCCAAUUACAAUUAAUAUGAAAGAACCCACCAGCGUGAGCCAAAAGUCUGUAUAUUCACUCAUCCAGAGCAGCUGAAGCUCAUCUGCAAGGAUCAUAGUGGUCCUUUCAUCCUUAAGCUACUGGGCUACAUCACUCCUGUCUGUCCUUUGCCUGCUGCCCCCCACAAAGCCAGGAAGAAGACAAGGGGUUGCUGGUACAUCCCUCCAGAUCUCCUUACACCGUGGAAUCAGAUUACAGUUGCAUGUCCUCCGCGUUUAACAUGGAUAAAUAUUAGCUGCAUGGAAAACAACAUCAGAGGCCUAGCUAUGCAGUGAAUGUUGCAUGGACAAGUAAUGCUGCAGUGAGGCCAACCCUACAUUUUAUUCAUGUAUUUUCACUUGGCCGAGUUACAUUUCUACAGAGGCUGUGGCCAUGAGUGUGGUGAUAACUUCCCACUGAGGUGCAACCUCUGAAAGAAAACCUUCUGCACUUCCUAGAGUUUCUUAGGAAGUGACUGGGAGAAAACUGACAAGAUAUUUGUCAGGCUAAAUGCUCCUUAUGGAGAAGUUUCCUAACUGCUUGCAACCUUAAAAACACUACUGCACAUAAAUGGAGUCAAUAAUAAUUCUAAGGCGAUCUAUAGCAACAAAGCAUUUGAAAUCAGUUUGGUUUGGUUUUUUUUUUUAGCUAAGAAAGAAGUUAAUUAGAUAAAGACAUCUGCUGCAGAAGCAUAAGGAGUUUGCCGUAAGGUUGUCUGAAGUCACUCACAGCGUAUGAAGGUUGUUCCAAAAAUAAUGCCUCUUGUUUUAUUUUGUUAGUCCACAAAAUCAGAGGUGGAUGUUGGUGGGAUGGCAGUAGAAAGUGAACCUUCUUACCAAUAUUCCAUUAACAUGAUAUUGCCAUGUGACAGAUGGCAGCAGAGCGACAGUCUGACACAACAGCAUCUGGCGUGGAAGUGCAAUGCUAUUGGGCACUUGGUGUCUGCUGUAGUUUCCAUGGAAAUAAAGAGGGAGCAUUACUUUUGGAGCAACCUAUGUAACCCAUUUGGACACCUACUUGUGUGACCUGCUGUAGAAUAACUGCUUUGGCAGGAUGAUUGGACUCAAUCUCUUGAGGUCUACCCAUCCCCUGCAAUUCUGUGAUUCUGUAAUGGAUGAGAGCUUCCAGGUAAUUGCUUGUAUGCAAUGUAUGUUGUAUAGCUGACGUCUUACAAGGUGUUUUCCUCAUCUGUCACACGCAUUUCAAAAUUACAAAAUUAUUUUAUUGUAUUUGAAUGCACUAACGUGGUGAAGUAUGAAGUAUGUGUCUUCAGGAUCCUGGUGUCCCUACCCUAAAAGUGAAGAAAUAUUAAAACGUUGACUUGGUUUGCUUUUACAUAUAGCAGGUUUGGAAUAAAUAAGUUUCUUUUGUAGAGCAGAUUAGAAUCCCCCACUCUCAUUUCUGAAGUCAUUAAAGCUGUCAGCGUGAGAUUGGCAAAGAGGCACGACUUGUCAUGCACCCGUAUCCUAAAAAUUGCCAAAGUCGUAUCAAAAUGGAGGAAGUUUUAAAACCCCAGUCUGGCUGAG